rnacentral:rRNA from 1 species
GAUGAACGCUAGCGGCAGGCUUAACACAUGCAAGUCGAGGGGUAGAGGAAGCUUGCUUCCUUGAGACCGGCGCACGGUGCGUAACGCGUAUGCAAUCUACCUUAUACAGGGGAUAGCCCAGAGAAAUUUGGAUUAAUACCCCAUAGUAUAAUUGAAUGGCAUCAUUUAAUUAUUAAAGUUCCAACGGUAUAAGAUGAGCAUGCGUCCAUUAGCUAGUUGGUGUGGUAACGGCACACCAAGGCGACGAUGGGUAGGGGUCCUGAGAGGGAGAUCCCCCACACUGGUACUGAGACACGGACCAGACUCCUACGGGAGGCAGCAGUGAGGAAUAUUGGUCAAUGGGCGCAAGCCUGAACCAGCCAUGCCGCGUGCAGGAUGACGGUCCUAUGGAUUU